rnacentral:rRNA from 1 species
GGCCGCUGCCGCUAGAGUUGCUCCUGGCUCGGUAACAUCGGGAAGCUUGCUCUCUCGCUGACGAGCGGCGGACGGGUGAGUAAUGUAUGGGGAUCUGCCCGAUAGAGGGGGAUAACUACUGGAAACGGUAGCUAAUACCGCAUAAUCUCUCAGGAGCAAAGCAGGGGAACUUCGGUCCUUGCGCUAUCGGAUGAACCCAUAUGGGAUUAGCUAGUAGGUGAGGUAAUGGCUCACCUAGGCGACGAUCCCUAGCUGGUCUGAGAGGAUGAUCAGCCACACUGGGACUAGAGUACACGGCCACCAGAACUCCUAUCCGGAUGGGCAGGCACGUGCGUGAAUAUUUGCACAAUGGGCGCAAGGCCUGCAUGCAAGCCAUACCGCGUGUAUGGAAGAAAGACCUAGGGUUUUGUAAAGUUACUUUCAGUUCGGGGAGGAAGGGGCGUGGAUGCUUUAAUAUUCAUUCAACGGAUUUGACGUUACCGACAAGAAGAAAGCCACCGGUCAUAACUCUCGUGCCAGCCAGCCGGCGGUAAUACGGAGGGGUGCAAGCGUUAAUCGGAAAUUAUCUGGGCGUAAAGCGCCACGCAGGCGGUGGAUUAAGUUUAGAUAUGAAAUCCCCGGGCUUAACCUGGGAAUGGCAUCAUAAGACUGGUCAGCUAGAGUCUUGUAGAGGGGGGUAGAAUUCCAUGUGUAGCGGUGAAAAUGCGUAGAGAUGUGGAGGAAUACCGGUGGCGAAAGCGGGCCCCCUGGACAAAGACUGACGCUCACGUGCGAAAGCGUGGGGAGCAAACAGGAUUAGAUACCCUGGUAGUCCACGCUGUAAACGAUGUCGAAUUGAAGGUUGUUCCCUAAAGGAGUGGCUUUCGGAACUAACGCGUUAAAUCGACCGCCUGGGGAGUACGGCCGCAAGGUUAAAACCUCAAAAUGAAUUGACGGGGGCCCGCACAAACGGCUGGAACAUGGGGUUUAAUUCGAUGCAACCGCGAAAAACCUUACCUACUCUUGACAUCCACGAGAAUUUAGCAAAGAUGCUUUAGUGCCAUUCGGGAAACCCUGAGACAGGUGCUGCAUGGCUGGUCGUCCAGCUCCCGUGUAGUGAAAUGGGUGGUGUUAAGUCCCGCAACGAGCGCAACCCUUAUCCUUUGUUGCCAGCGAUUCGGUCGGGAACUCAAAGGAGACUGCCGGUGAUAAACCGGAGGAAGGUGGGGAUGACGUCAAGUCAUCAUGGCCCUUACGAGUAGGGCUACACACGUGCUACAAUGGCGUAUACAAAGAGAAGCGACCUCGCGAGAGCAAGCGGAACUCAUAAAGUACGUCGUAGUCCGGAUUGGAGUUUGCAACUUGACUCCAUGAAGUCGGAAUCGCUAGUAAUCGUAGAUCAGAAUGAUACGGUGAAACGUUCCCGGGCCUUUUCUCCGCGCCCGUCACUCCAACGAGGGGGCCCAGGGUUUGUCCUGGCUAAUAAGUUGAACAAGGUACCGAAGGAACACAUGAAUCUUGCCUCGC